rnacentral:rRNA from 1 species
GACGAACGCUGGCGGCGUGCUUAACACAUGCAAGUCGAACGGAAAGGCCCUGCUUUUGUGGGGUGCUCGAGUGGCGAACGGGUGAGUAACACGUGAGUAACCUGCCCUUGACUUUGGGAUAACUUCAGGAAACUGGGGCUAAUACCGGAUAGGAGCUCCUGCUGCAUGGUGGGGGUUGGAAAGUUUCGGCGGUUGGGGAUGGACUCGCGGCUUAUCAGCUUGUUGGUGGGGUAGUGGCCUACCAAGGCUUUGACGGGUAGCCGGCCUGAGAGGGUGACCGGCCACAUUGGGCCUGAGAGACGGCCCAGACUCCUACGGGAGGCAGCAGGGGGGAAUAUUGCAGAAUGGGCGGAAGCCUGAUGCAGCAACGCCGCGUGCGGGAUGACGGCCUUCGGGUUGUAAACCGCUUUCGCCUGUGCCGAAGCGUGAGUGACGGUAAUGGGUAAAGAAGCACCGGCUAACUACGUG